GCUAAAACGCAUCCUCUUGAGACUCAUCAAACUAUACCGUAUAUUAUUAUUGCAUUUAUAUGACGAGUUGAAUGUAAGUAUUUGCAGUUCAUAGAGCAGUGUGCCUGCGCUUUUAGCAAACUGUAAGCGAAGGUUGAGUCAAACUGGAACACUUUAUCAAAGGUUAUUGAGAUCAACAAAGCUUGGCUCUCAUUUUCAGGAAUUUAGAAUAUAGCUAAAGCUGUCAUUUUCUCCAGGUAUGUAGCCAAAUAAGACAUUAUUAAUAUUUCUAUGUAUAUUUUUAUAAGUUCAGGAUUUGGGGCAUCGACACUACCCUGGUUGCCAGAGGUUCUCGUAUCUUUCGCCCUAUUCUCGCAAAUUAUGUAAUUUAUAAUACGGCGGCACAAGAACCUCUGGAACUAAGUGAUGUAUUUUUAUACAUUUCCUAUGUAUAAAAAUGUAUAUAGACAAGUUACAAGUAGGUAUUCGCUGGAAACUAAAAGUAUGGUUUUCAAGUUUGUUCGUUGUUUGUUCGUUAAAAAUAUGGUGUUCAAAUGUUUAUUGAAUGCCUGUCAAGGCUUGUUUUGACUAUUGACUAGGCAUUUGAGUGACCUACAUAGGAAAAAAUAAAAUGUGUCAAGCAAAACCACUUCUUGUCCAUAUUCAGGGUUACUCAGUACACAAUUUACCAAACAGUUUUGUGUUGCUACGGUCUGUAAUUAAGUCGCUCGUCGAGUACUUGAUAUCGUAUUACAGGAAGAAGUUAAUGGCGGUGUUAUUCUGAUAAGAUUAUAAGAAUGAAAACUAUGAAUUCCUUGAAUUUCUUAAUCCUACAUAACUGUUUCUGGAAAACACUAAAAUCAUGUGACUGUCUUGUCAUAAUUAGGACCAAAUUGAAACGCACUCAAAGGGAUAUUACGAGAGUAACGGGGUCUGGGCCCGUGGCUACACCUCUGGGUUGAUCCACAAUUUGUCAACCAGCCAGACGAUGAAUGGCUCAGUCAGUUUAUAAGCCGCCAUUUCAUACGGUCGUAAAAAUAGAGUCACGAUCUUUCUCAACGGCCAGUUUAGAAUAGUUUAUACCCUGUAAACCACAUGUAAAUCAUAAGUAUUCUCUAGUUAUAAUCACUCCGCGUAUUUCCAGUCCUAAACUAUUGUAUUUCGACUGAUGAGAAAGAUCGUGACUAAAUCUUUACGACCGUUACGACCAUAUGGAAACCAGGCUAAAGUCAGUCAGCCAUCUGGUCGGUGACGUCAGUCACUAUAGUCGUUUACUACAGCUGGUUUUCAAAUGUUUGAGGUAUUUGGACAUCUCGUUCGAUGGAACUGACAGCUGUUUGUAGCGGAAGAUUAUAUACAAUUUUAGACCAAAAAAUGCAACUGUCGAUUCCUGGUACGUAAAGAUAUAGCCACAAGAAGCUGAUAUUGAACCAAUGCCUAUAGACUUUGACAGCUCCCUGUAUUCUUGACUUAUGUUCGAUAUAACUAAAUGCAGAUGGGUUUUGGAGAUGGAAAUUCCCAGUGUGGAUUUUAUACAUUUAUUAGAUCUAACCAGAAACAGUUGCGAAAAAUGCAACUCUAGGUCCUCUGGCAGGGAUCGAACCCACGGCCCUGCGAUUCCGGUGCAGCGCUCUAACCAACUGAGCUACAGAGGCCAGCUGUCGAACUCUAACCACAAGUUCAUGUAUGUAUAUAUAGUGGGUGGUGCAGCAGUACUAAGGUCUAUUAUAGGUAAAUAUCGAUAUUUUGUUGGCGUCUCGCUUGAUAAAACUAACAGUUGAAAUUUCCAUCAACAAAAACCCUUUAAAGCGCGACUAACCAAAAAAUACGAUUUUUUUGCUAUGUGUAAUAUUUGGGUCAUUCUGAGAAGAAAUGUAAUGUAUCUUUAUAGUAAAAAAUCCCAUCUUGAUCAACGUUUUCACUGUCAAAGUUUCCGGAUAUGAUGUCAUUAGGUGAAUUGCAAAUUACUUUUCCUUUGUUUUUUAUACCAAAAAUUCACCUAAUGGCAUCAUAUCUGGAAACUUUGACAGUGAAAAAGUUGAUCAAGAUGAGGUUUUUUACUAUAAACAUACAUUACAUUUCUUCUCAGAAUGACCCAAAUAUCACACAAAACAAAAAUUAUAUUUGGGGUUACUUAGUCGCAUUUUAAAAUAUUUCUCUAGAAUGAGUGCAGUCAUCACGAAGAAACAAAAAAACACCAUCAUGGUUUUGGGAAGUAUUACAGCCGUGUUUGGAGCGGGUGCUGGAGCCUGCGGUCUCCUCUUACGAGGGCAAUACUUAACGUAUGAUCAAGAUUGGGAUGUUGAUAUAAUAUCUGGAUUCACUGACGGAUAUUUUGGAGUUAUGUCGGGAUUUCUAGUA
rnacentral:lncRNA from 1 species